rnacentral:misc_RNA from 1 species
UCGCGGCUUAUCACCGGCAGUCCCCUUAGAGUGCCCAACUAAAUGAUGGCAACUAAAGACGAGGGUUGCGCUCGUUGCGGGACUUAACCCAACACCUCACGGCACGAGCUGACGACAGCCAUGCAGCGCCUCCACACUUGUCCCUUGCGGGAAGGCCAUAUUUCUAUAGCUAGUCAAGUGCGCUUCGAGCCCAGGUAAGGUUCCUCGCGUAGCGUCGAAUUGAACCACAUGUUCCACCGCUUGUGCGGGCCCCCGUCAAUUCCUUUGAGUUUCAGCCUUGCGGCCGUACUCCCCAGGCGGGGUACUUAACGCGUUAGCUCCGGCACGCCGGGACUGAAUAACCCGACACACCAAGUGUCCAUCGUUUAGGGCCAGGACUAC